rnacentral:misc_RNA from 1 species
UAGCUUUGGACCCGUGUCUGCUGGUAGAUCCCCCGUCUUUGUGCGGCCGACUACCGGCGCCGUGUCCCGUCAGUCCCGUCGCUUAUGUUGCCGUUGCCUUUUUGAAGUGCUUGUGUGCUGCUACCCGAACUAUGGGAAAUGGUGCUAUGUUUUACACGGUUGCCUCGCGGUGGACGCCUUUGGGUGUGCCGCUGCGGCCAAAUGGCGCUUGCGGCGUUACGUCGUGGUGCAGGGCAUGUUUACUCUGUCUGUGCCGUCAACGCAACCUCGCUCUUGCCGUUGGUCUCGGAUGUUGCUAACGAUGAAGUCUCUUGGCCCAUUUGGUUGCCUUGACCCGACCCUAAGGAGCUCUCCGAACUUGAGAACAACCGGAACAGGUGUUGCCUCUACCUCUCCAAAGUUAGGUUGGUAGGAUAUGCAACAUUUUGCGCCGAUCCUCAUGCCAGUAGGACGAGCUUGGCCCGCUCAAUCGCGACAACCAGCCCGGCUGUUGCCUCUGCCUUGCCACGCAAGUGGACGGGCGGACAACUGCUGACGCUGGACGUCAAAGAGGA